rnacentral:rRNA from 1 species
AACGUAGGGUGCAAGCGUUGUUCGGAAUUACUGGGCGUAAAGGGCGUGUAGGCGGUAUGGUUAGUCAUAUGUGAAAGCCCUUGGCUUAACUGAGGAACUGCAUAUGAUACUACCAUGCUAGAGAGCGGGAGAGGGAAGUGGAAUUCCCGGUGUAGAGGUGAAAUUCGUAGAAAUCGGGAGGAACAUCGGUGGCGAAAGCGGCUUCCUGGCCCGUUUCUGACGCUGAGGCGCGAAAGCGUGGGGAG